rnacentral:rRNA from 1 species
AUUGAACGCUGGCGGCAUGCCUUACACAUGCAAGUCGAACGGUAACAGGUCUUCGGAUGCUGACGAGUGGCGAACGGGUGAGUAAUACAUCGGAACGUGCCCGAUCGUGGGGGAUAACGGAGCGAAAGCUUUGCUAAUACCGCAUACGAUCUACGGAUGAAAGCAGGGGACCGCAAGGCCUUGCGCGGACGGAGCGGCCGAUGGCAGAUUAGGUAGUUGGUGGGAUAAAAGCUUACCAAGCCGACGAUCUGUAGCUGGUCUGAGAGGACGACCAGCCACACUGGGACUGAGACACGGCCCAGACUCCUACGGGAGGCAGCAGUGGGGAAUUUUGGACAAUGGGCGAAAGCCUGAUCCAGCCAUGCCGCGUGCAGGAUGAAGGCCUUCGGGUUGUAAACUGCUUUUGUACGGAACGAAAAGACUCUUUCUAAUAAAGGGGGUGCAUGACGGUACCGUAAGAGUAAGCACCGGCUAACUACGUG